GAGCGGACAUGACGUGUGGCUGUCGUAAAAACCCUAUUUGUAAACAACCAGCCCUUUAACUCGGGGCUGCGUCAUAAACACGGCGCGCUUGGAAGACCACGAUGUCAUCUUCCUUCUGUCAGGAGGAUCCAAGUGAAGCUACAGGAGUUUCAUUAACGUCAACAACUUGGACCAAACAGUUUGUUUUGCUUGAUGAAGAGCAGGAAGGGCAGCCUGGAGAGAAAGAGAAGCCGGGUUGAGCCCACUACCAUCAUCCACGUACCACGAGGAAGAUGAGGGAGAGAAAUGAUCCUACCAUUAAAGAGACUGUGAAAAGAACGUUGAGAACAUCACCACUCUACAGGAAGACACAGUCCAGUAAUGGGUGUCAGAAGUUCAGUAGUGAACGACAGAAACAAACAAUCCAAAUUACCUGCAGAAAGCCCUUGAUGGACGCUUCAGCUGCAUCGUCAGACUGGCAGUACUGAUGCAUUUACUGAGACGGGACGUGAGGGCCUACUCUGCGUGCUCAGAGUUCAAGCCCAGCAGGCUGCAGCGGGCCUGACAUAUUCUGGAACAGCAGCACAGUCUUUGGAUGACUCCUCUGAAGAUGAAAACAUGGCGAGUUCUUCUCAAGAGAAGCAGUACAGGUGUGCCUCAGCUCCACGGUCCCUCCUGCAGCCUCCGCUCCUGAUGCUAACCUCAUGUCUCCAUCACACCAAGCAGCAGACCUGGAUUGACAGACCUUUCUCCAGAGCUGCCCCCUCCCUCUGAAACCCCCCUCUCCAAAACACUAUUUGUGUAGUUUUUAAAGUAUUUUUUGCAUGAGAAUUGUUGAUCAUAACAUUUCCAGCAGAUGCCUUAAUAUAAUGUUUGUGCACAAUAAAU